GAUGAACGCUGGCGGCGUGCUUAACACAUGCAAGUCGAACGGAAAGGCCCAAGCUUGCUUGGGUACUCGAGUGGCGAACGGGUGAGUAACACGUGGGUGAUCUGCCCUGCACUUCGGGAUAAGCCUGGGAAACUGGGUCUAAUACCGGAUAGGACGAUGGUUUGGACGCCAUUGUGGAAAGUUUUUUCGGUGUGGGAUGAGCUCGCGGCCUAUCAGCUUGUUGGUGGGGUAAUGGCCUACCAAGGCGUCGACGGGUAGCCGGCCUGAGAGGGUGUACGGCCACAGUGGGACUGAGAUACGGCCCAGACUCCUACGGGAGGCAGCAGUGGGGAAUAUUGCACAAUGGGCGCAAGCCUGAUGCAGCGACGCCGCGUGGGGGAUGACGGCCUUCGGGUUGUAAACUCCUUUCGCUAGGGACGAAGCGUUUUUGUGACGGUACCUGGAGAAGAAGCACCGGCUAACUACGUG
rnacentral:rRNA from 1 species